AUAUAUAUAUAUAUGUGUGUGUGUGUGUGUGUAUGUAUAUUCAGCCAUUUUGGCUCCUGCAUCCUGGUCCUUCGCUGCAGCUCGCGCACACGCAGGUGGCAUGCGCACGCGCCGAGGAACAAAGCAUUCCAUCAGCGCCAGUGACAUCACUGCAGUCAGCUCAGCUGUUUCUGCCUGCUGCUAUAAAUAGUGUGGUGGAGACAGCGUAUUGCCUAUGCAGAAAAUAUUUGACUCCUGACCUGAAGCCGGGAGAGAUUUGUUUUUUUUUUCUUUUUUUAAAUAUUGCCUAAUCUGCUCCUUUACAACAGCUGUGAAGCAUAGGUGGAAUUUGCACAUUACUUUAUAAAACUUUGUGUCAUCUCUUAGUUGAAAGCAGGGUUUGUGGAAACCUAAAAAAAAAAAAAACAUCUUGUUUUUCCUAUGUGAGAUUUGAAUACAUUUUGUAGAGCAAGAUGUUUGAAGCGCAGGAUUGUCCAUGCCGAGUAAUGUUCUUUGAAGGGACAAUUACUCAAAGCUACAAAACUGCCAUGUAGAAUAAAUUAAACUAGAUAAGCCACUACUACUGAACAUGUUUUACAUUUUGUCACAAACCCACAACUGGAUUUUAUUGUAAUUGUAUGUGAUAGAUCAUGUUUAACACAGUUCAUGCUUUGUACCUGCUUUGCAGGCAUCAUACGCAAUAACUGAGACUGAAAUCUAUUUGGCUAUUGUUUCCUGAUAAUAAGGUGUAACCCCAACUUGGUGAUUUUGAUUUAAAUCACCAGUUUUGUUAAUAUAAGAAUCAGAAAUCAUUUUAUUUGCCUUUGUCAUGGAUUUGUUGCUAAAUCAAACCUAUUGUUGCACAACAAGCGACUUGUUUCUUUUUAUUUUCUCCUUGCCAUACUUUAAUAAAGAUCAGAUUUAUAAAGGCGCCUCUGAUACUUAUCCUCUCAACAUAAUUGACGACCACGCCUGUCAAUCAUUCUAGCGGGUUUGUCAGCAACUGACCAAUCAGCGGUCGCUAUUUGUCGCGAAGUGCACGCCUCUUACCUGGAGGAGCGUCACUUCCGUCAACAUUGUCGGGGCUUGUCACACUGCGGUCAUAGAGAUUUGAGGAAAAUAACAAGAAAUCAUGUACAAAUGUUGCCAGUAGGGAAUAUGUAAUCCCGACAGCUAUUACAGAGGACGGAACACAAUUUAUUAGAUUUUCAAAACUAAUGGAGUCCGGAAUAAUGCAAGAAAUGGAUCAAGGCCUGCAGCUGACCUCAUGUCCAGUUGAAUGAAACUGUGAUCGACGGCAACUGCCACAUGUUCGUCUGUAUGAAGGUGAUGACCCUCUGCAUGGACUGGAGCAAUUCGCAGCCAAGAGUGAAGCGACCUGAAUGAGAGUCGGCUCCCUCUAGGUUGGAGGAGUCUUGGUGUCUCGGUAACAGGUGGUGGUAGGACAGAAAGGGAUAUGAACAGACAGAGUGGGGCCUCGUCUGCAGUAACAAGGGCGAUGAUCCGGUCCGAUGUGGAGAAGAACGAGUAGAACCAAAAAGCAAACCUCUCUAAGUGUUCCAGCUCUCAUACAAGUUCUUGGCAUUUGAAUUGUGACUGAAAGAACAAGAUUCUGAGCAGAUAAAGAUCGACAGUAUUAUACUAACAUUACUCCAGCCUACACGGCUAGGUUCAACACAGAUUGACCUUGAUAUGGAAACUGUAGCUCUUCUCCCGCCCCCCUUCUUCCAUCAUCAUAAUGGUUCUCUGAGAAGAACCUCGACAGUUUCAUGCUGCAUCAUUCACACACACCGUGCAGUUCUGCUCCUCGUUGUCGUCCUUCCCCCUCACUCAUCCUCCUGCCCUUUUAUUCCUCCGAAGUCCUUGAUUCACGUAUAUUCUGCUGAAGAGCUCCUAUACGUCAGGCCGGCAGCAAGGGAGACAAAGACAGGCCGCAGUUAAUUACCUAUCAUUUAGAGCAGAUGGCUGCAGACGAUAUGUAAAUGUGUGUGUUUGUCUGCAAGUGUGUGCUUAUGCGAUUGUUUGUAUGACUGCAUAUGUGUUUUCAGAUUUGCUUAGCAAAAACCAUUAAAAUGGUGUGAAGAAGUUUUGCAAUUAAAAUGAUGAUGCGGAUUGUUUUGCU